rnacentral:tRNA from 1 species
GCGUUGGUGGUUUGGUGGUAGAAUUCACGCCUUCCACACAGGAGACCUGGGUUCGAUUUCCGGCCAGUGCA